rnacentral:RNase_P_RNA from 1 species
GUAGCAAGAAAAGUAGUCGCUUUUAUUUAUUAAUAAAAGAGGAAAGUCCGGACACCAUUUUUGGUAGUUGGUAACGCCAACAUAUUUAUUUCGUGAGGAAUAAAUAAUAACAAGUGCAGCAGAAAGAAAAACUCCCUUUCGGGUAAGUGUGAAAUUGUUAAUUAAUGAAUUAACACGUUUGUAUAGCGAUAUACAAAAAGAGGCAAACUUUACUUGGUGAAAGAGUAAAAUUCUUCUAUUUUGAAGAUAGGAUUUAUUCCUGGUAACUCGAUAGAGAUUAGUGGUGACAUUAAUCCUAGAUAAAUGACUACUACUUAUUUUAUAAGUACAGAAUCCGGCUUAACUUGCUACUUUU